UACGAAGGGGGCUAGCGUUGUUCGGAAUCACUGGGCGUAAAGGGCGCGUAGGCGGCCGAUCAAGUCGGGGGUGAAAGCCUGUGGCUCAACCACAGAAUUGCCUUCGAUACUGUUUGGCUUGAGACCGGAAGAGGUUAGUGGAACUGCGAGUGUAGAGGUGAAAAUUCGUAGAUAUUCGCAAGAACACCAGUGGCGAAGGCGGCUGACUGGUCCGGUUCUGACGCUGAGGCGCGAAAGCGUGGGGAGCAAACAGG
rnacentral:rRNA from 1 species